CUAGAAAAAGAGAAAAAAAAAAAGGGAUAUGAUACAAAAUCCCUAAAUUCUCUCCAUCUAAUCCCACUACUCAAAAUUCUAAUGCAACCAAAACUCUGCCCCUCAACCGAACAAAAUAAAUCACCCUUGCUGAAGCUAGGAUUUGAACAUAAGACCUUCAACACUCUAAAACACCAUUUAACCACCAAACCAGCAGACCUAUUCUAAUAUAACUUAUCAACAAUUAAAUAAAAGUCUAUUGAACAAGAGUGAGGCUUUCAUUUAGAGGAAAAACAAAAUCUUACCAAAG
rnacentral:lncRNA from 1 species